UACGUGGGGUGCAAGCGUUAAUCGGAAUUACUGGGCGUAAAGCGUGCGCAGGCGGUUAUGUAAGACAGAUGUGAAAUCCCCGGGCUCAACCUGGGAACUGCAUUUGUGACUGCAUAGCUAGAGUGCGGCAGAGGGAGAUGGAAUUCCGCGUGUAGCAGUGAAAUGCGCAGAUAUCAGGAAGAACACCCGUGGCGAAGGCGGCUCUCUGGUACGGAACUGACGCUGAGACGCGAAAGCGUGGGGAGCGAACAGG
rnacentral:rRNA from 1 species